CCUACGGGUGGCAGCAGUGGGGAAUAUUGCUCAAUGGGGGAAACCCUGAUGCAGCGACGCCGCGUGAGGGAUGAAGUAUUUCGGUAUGUAAAGCUCUAUUUGUAGGGAAGAAAAUGACGGUACCUGAGGAAGAAGCACCGGCUAACUACGUGCCAGCAGCCGCGGUAAUACGGAGGGGGCAAGCGUUAUCCGGAUUUACUGGGCGUAAAGGGCGCGUAGGCGGCAAUGCAAGUCAGGAGUGAAAGGCGGGGGCUUAACCCCCGGACUGCUGUGGAAACUGUACGGCUGGAGUGAGGGAGAGGUAGGUGGAAUUCUUGGUGUAGCGGUGAAAUGCGUAGAGAUUAGGAGGAACACCGAUGGCGAAGGCGGCUUACUGGACUGUAACUGACGUUGAGGCGCGAAAGCGUGGGGAGCAAACAGGAUUAGAUACCCGAGUAGUC
rnacentral:rRNA from 1 species